UACGUAGGCAGCGAGCGUUGUUCGGAGUUACUGGGCGUAAAGCGUGCGUAGGCGGUGUCUUAAGUUUGUUGUGAAACCUCCCGGCUUAACCGGGAGGGUGCGGCGAAUACUGAGAUGCUGGAGUGCCGGAGAGGUAAGCGGAAUUCCUGGUGUAGCGGUGAAAUGCGUAGAUAUCUGAAGGAACAUCAGUGGCGAAAGCGACUUCCUGGACCAAUACUGACGCUCAUGUGCGAAAGCGUGGGGAGCAAACAGG
rnacentral:rRNA from 1 species